GCUCCAAUAGUUUAAAUAAAAUAAUGGUCUUGUAAACCGUAGUUGAAUCACUAUUCUUGAAGCU
rnacentral:tRNA from 1 species